rnacentral:rRNA from 1 species
AGCGAACGCUGGCGGCAGGCCUAACACAUGCAAGUCGAACGAACUCUUCGGAGUUAGUGGCGGACGGGUGAGUAACACGUGGGAACGUGCCUUUUGGUUCGGAAUAACUCAGGGAAACUUGUGCUAAUACCGAAUGUGCCCUUCGGGGGAAAGAUUUAUCGCCAUUAGAGCGGCCCGCGUCUGAUUAGCUAGUUGGUGAGGUAACGGCUCACCAAGGCGACGAUCAGUAGCUGGUCUGAGAGGAUGAUCAGCCACACUGGGACUGAGACACGGCCCAGACUCCUACGGGAGGCAGCAGUGGGGAAUCUUGCGCAAUGGGCGAAAGCCUGACGCAGCCAUGCCGCGUGAAUGAUGAAGGUCUUAGGAUUGUAAAAUUCUUUCACCGGGGACGAUAAUGACGGUACCCGGAGAAGAAGCCCCGGCUAACUUCGUG